UACGUAGGGUCCGAGCGUUGUCCGGACUUAUUGGGCGUAAAGGGCUCGUAGGCGGUUAGUCACGUCGGGAGUGAAAACUCAGGGCUCAACCCUGAGCGUGCUUCCGAUACGGGCUGACUAGAGGUAUGCAGGGGAGAACGGAAUUCCUGGUGUAGCGGUGGAAUGCGCAGAUAUCAGGAGGAACACCGGUGGCGAAGGCGGUUCUCUGGGCAUUACCUGACGCUGAGGAGCGAAAGCAUGGGGAGCGAACAGG
rnacentral:rRNA from 1 species